UACGUAGGGUGCGAGCGUUAAUCGGAAUUACUGGGCGUAAAGCGUGCGCAGGCGGUUCGUUGUGUCUGAUGUGAAAGCCUCGGGCUCAACCUGGGAAUGGCAUUGGAAACUGGCGAGCUAGAGUGUGGCAGAGGGGGGUGGAAUUCCGCGUGUAGCAGUGAAAUGCGUAGAGAUGCGGAGGAACACCGAUGGCGAAGGCAGCCCCCUGGGCUGACACUGACGCUCAGGCACGAAAGCGUGGGGAGCAAACAGG
rnacentral:rRNA from 1 species